GGGGGCGAUCUGGCUUCGACGUCGGUUACAAACCCUGAGGUGCAUGUCGAGGAUGCAACUUUGCCUCGUUAAUCAUGUUGUAAAUCUAUAGUUGCAAACGAUGCUAACUAUAACGCUAAAAACGUUGCUAUUGCUGCUUAAUCGGUAGUUAAUUUUGUAACGUUAGUGCUGCCUAAACAACAGCCGGCGCCAUGAACUCCAUAGGCUUGUAUGUGGAGGUAGUGGUCAUAACUGACAAGCUCGUAGUCCAGCCUGUCUGAGGCGAAAGCUAUUAAAACCAACCAGACUCGUCGUUUGGUUCUCUGUCAAUCGGGGAUAGAACGAUUAAACUUAAAGAUUGUACUAAGCAUGUAGUGCCAAAGGCAGCGGACUUGCGGACGUGGGUUCGAUUCCCACCGCCUCCACCA
rnacentral:tmRNA from 1 species